AGAGUUUGAUCCUGGCUCAGGGCGAACGCUAGCGGCGCGCCUAACACAUGCAAGUCGUGCGGGAAAGGGCUUCGGCCCUAGUACCGCGGCAGACGGGUGAGUAACACGUGAGCAACCUGUCCCCGGGUCUGGGAUAACCUCCCGAAAGGGUGGCUAAUACCGGAUAAAGUCGCCGAGCGCAAGCUCGGUGAUGAAAGGGGGCCUCUGCAUAGCAAGCUCCUGCCUGGGGAGGGGCUCGCGGCCCAUCAGCUAGUUGGUGGGGUAACGGCCCACCAAGGCUAUGACGGGUAGCCGGCCUGAGAGGGUGGUCGGCCACACGGGCACUGAGACACGGGCCCGACUCCUACGGGAGGCAGCAGUGGGGAAUCUUGGGCAAUGGGCGAAAGCCUGACCCAGCGACGCCGCGUGGGGGAAGAAGGCCUUCGGGUCGUAAACCCCUGUUCUGGGGGAAGAACCCUGAGCGGGUUAAUAGCCCGUUCAGGCUGACGGUACCCCAGGAGAAAGCCACGGCUAACUGCGUGCCAGCAGCCGCGGUAAUACGCAGGUGGCGAGCGUUGCCCGGAAUCACUGGGCGUAAAGGGUGCGUAGGCGGCAGGGCAAGUCGCGGGUUAAAGCCCGGGGCUUAACCCCGGAAGGGCCUGCGAUACUGCCUUGCUUGAGGGCCGGAGAGGCUGGCGGAAUUCCCGGUGUGGGGGUGAAAUCCGUAGAUAUCGGGAGGAACACCGGUGGGGAAGCCGGCCAGCUGGACGGUUCCUGACGCUGAGGCACGAAAGCGUGGGGAGCAAACCGGAUUAGAUACCCGGGUAGUCCACGCCGUAAACGAUGGGUGCUAGGUCUGGGGAGGAAACUCUCUGGGCCGAAGCUAACGCGUUAAGCACCCCGCCUGGGGAGUACGGCCGCAAGGCUGAAACUCAAAGGAAUUGACGGGGGCCCGCACAAGCGGUGGAGCACGUGGUUUAAUUCGAUGCAAAGCGAAGAACCUUACCUGGGCUUGACAUGCCAGGGUUGUACCCCGGUGGAAACACUGGGGGAGCGUGGGUUUUUACUCACGCGCUCUGGCACAGGUGCUGCAUGGCUGUCGUCAGCUCGUGCCGUGAGGUGUUGGGUUAAGUCCCGCAACGAGCGCAACCC
rnacentral:rRNA from 1 species